rnacentral:lncRNA from 1 species
UCUUAACCUUUAAAACUCAGCCUACAAAUCAUGUUUGAGAAUCUAGCAGAUUUUACCAAGUGUUAUUAAGGGACUUCUUACAAACUUGCCUCUUCAAACAUUUACAGUACAUUUAUAAAUGAAUACCUUUGAUUUCCUUUUCCAGUAUCUCAUUUGCCUGAUAUAAACAAAACCUUCCUAAAGUUUCAUUCUUAUAGAUCUAAUAAAUCCAACUUAUAAAUAUGAUGAGCCUUAAGUUCUCUUAAAAAUCUAUUUACAUAUGAAGCUAAAUGUAUGGAGAUUUCUUUUUUAAACAGAAAUGUUAUUAAUAAUACUCAAGUUUUAAUUCUUGUUUAGCA